rnacentral:lncRNA from 1 species
CCAGAGUCCUCUGAAACACAGGCCAUCGAUGACUUCCUCUGCCCUGGACUUGUACCCAAGCUCCUUACCAGACCCCCAGGACCUGGCUUUGCCCACCUCUCUGCUGGAACCCCUCUCUGCCCUGGGGCAUUGGCACAUGCCACCCCCACGACCUGGGCCCAUGCUUCUGGGAUAGCUAGGUCGGACCAGCCUUCAGGCCUCGUACCCAUGUCCACCUUGGCACGGCCUCCCCACUGCCCCCUCGUUAGCCUAUCUCCUUCCACACGGUAGCCGACAUGGCACUGACUCCAGCGUGCCACCACACAUCAGUCCUGCCUGGGAUCCACAAGUCUCUGCUGCUGGCCGCUGUGAAGGGACAAAAUGUCCAGCCUCAUAGCCCCUGGGUGCACCUGCUGGGAGCCUUGGCCCAAGAGCACCCCUCCCUGCCUAAGAUAAUGGGUCAGGGUCACAGCACUGGCCAUGGUAGCUUUCGUGAGGCUGCAGAAGUGACUUCGCCACCACACCCUCCCCCAGCACUUCCCCCAACCCCAGAGAGGGGAAGCGUAUGGUCCACACUUGGGCCAGCUCAGUCUCCUAUAGCCAUCACAGCUCCAACCCUCCUAUCUUCCUUCUCCCCAAAAUGUCCCCAUGAGAUAAC